rnacentral:rRNA from 1 species
UACGGCGAGUGAACAGGGAAGAGCCCAGCACCGAAGCCUGUGGCCAUUUGGUCUCUAGGCAAUGUGGUGUUUAGGUCAUCUCGCAGAGACACUGUCCCACUCUAAGUCCAGCAAUGAGAACGGCAAUUUGGACUUGGCCCAAAGAGGGUGAAAGGCCCGUGAGGGUGGGAAUCAGGAUGGCCAGUGUCUCUCUGAGUAGACCUUGGAGUCGGGUUGUUUGUGAAUGCAGCCCAAAGCGGGUGGUAAACUCCAUCCAAGGCUAAAUACUAACACGAGUCCGAUAGCGAACAAGUACCGUGAGGGAAAGUUGAAAAGUACUUUGAAGAGAGAGUAAACAGUGCGUGAAACCGCUCAGAGGUAAACAGGUGGAGUUGAACUGCAAGCUUUGAGAAUUUAACUGGUGAGUGUGGCAUGGGCUUGGAUAUGCUGGUUGGCCUUUGGAGUCUGCUUAGCUGCAGGUCCUGCCUUUUGGGGUGGGAUGCAUGAUGCACUUAUCAAGUGUUGUGCGCUUCGGGGGUACAUCGGACCUGCUCGCCAGUGCAUUUUCUCAGAGUGUUCACCACGACCGGCGCUGCUGUCUGUCUACUAUUGUUAAACCGGGUGUGUAUCGUCCUUGCGGCUUUGCAUAUUCGGGACGGCAGGUAGCCCGAUUUUGCUUGUCAAUGUCGGGUGUAAUCAGCUGACUGUAGUAGUACUGUGCAGUGCGCCGGAGAUGGCGGCUUGUGGUGCAUACAUGCGUGCCUGUUUGAUUGGCGGCUUUGGGUCUGGUUGUCAUGAGCCUGUAAAAGCAGGCCUGAUAAUGGCACAGAGUCGUUCGGUCGACGGUUGCGUGUGGAGUACUUUAAUGGGCCUAUAGUCUGUGGUGUAGUGGUAAACGAUCCACCUGACCCGUCUUGAAACACGGACCAAGGAGAGUAACAUGUGCGCGAGUCAUUGGGCUCUACGAAACCCAAAGGCGCAGUGAAAGUAAAGGUCCGACUUUGGCGGACUAAGGUGAGAUCCUGUCGUUUCUCACGCGUGGUACUACCAAGCGUUCGAGCGGCAGGCGCAUCACCGGCCCGUCCCAUGGCGUAGACAUUUUCUUCGGAAGGUGCACCGCCGGGGCGGAGCAUGAGCGUACAUGUUGAGACCCGAAAGAUGGUGAACUAUGCUUGCGCAGGUUGAAGCCAGAGGAAACUCUGGUGGAGGACCGCAGCGAUUCUGACGUGCAAAUCGAUCGUCAAACGUGAGUAUGGGGGCGAAAGACUAAUCGA